UACGAAGGAUGCAAGCGUUAUCCGGAUUCAUUGGGUUUAAAGGGUGCGUAGGCGGAAUAAUAAGUCAGUGGUGAAAUCCCUCAGCUUAACUGAGGAACUGCCAUUGAUACUGUUGUUCUAGAGUACAGAUGAUGUUGGCGGAAUAUGACAUGUAGCGGUGAAAUGCAUAGAUAUGUCAUAGAACACCGAUUGCGAAGGCAGAUGACAAAACUGUAACUGACGCUGAUGCCCGAAAGUGCGGGGAUCAAACAGG
rnacentral:rRNA from 1 species